rnacentral:rRNA from 1 species
GGGUCAGUAGGUUGGUCGUGCUACCGGUACGUACUGGUCUCACUGAUUCCUCCUUCCUGAAGAACCGUAAUGCCAUUAAUUUGGUGUUGCGGGGAAACAGGACUGUUACUUUGAAAAAAUUAGAGUGUUUAAAGCAAGCUAACGCUUGAAUACAUUAGCAUGGAAUAGUGAAAUAGGACGAUCGAUCCUAUUUUGUUGGUUUCUAGGAUUGACGUA